rnacentral:rRNA from 1 species
GGGUACAUCAGCGGCGAACGGGUGAGUAACACGUGGGUGACCUUCCCCAAAGACGGGGAUAACUCUUGGAAACAGGGGCUAAUACCCGAUGUGCUCAGCAGUUCACUCUGUUGAGUAAAGCUAUGGCGCUUUGGGAUGGGCCCGCGGCCCAUCAGCUAGUUGGUAGGGUAAAGGCCUACCAAGGCUAAGACGGGUAGGGGGCGUGAGAGCGCGAUCCCCCACACUGGCACUGAGACACGGGCCAGACUCCUACGGGAGGCAGCAGUGAGGAAUAUUGCGCAAUGGACGAAAGUCUGACGCAGCGACGCCGCGUGGGCGAUGAAGGCCUUCGGGUCGUAAAGCCCUUUUCUGGGGGAAGAGAAAGGACGGUACCCCAGGAAUAAGCCCCGGCUAACUACGUGCCAGCAGCCGCGGUAAAACGUAGGGGGCAAGCGUUAUCCGGAUUUACUGGGCGUAAAGAGCGUUGAGGCGGUUUUGUAAGUUGGGCGUGAAAGCCCUGGGCUUAACUCAGGGAAGCCGUUCAAUACUGCGAAACUUGAGGGCAGCAGAGGGAGGUGGAAUUCCCGGAGCAGCGGUGAAAUGCGUAGAUAUCGGGAGGAACACCAGUGGCGAAGGCGGCCUCCUGGGCUGCUCCUGACGCUGAAGGCGAAUGCUAGGGGAGCGAACGGGAUUAGAAACCCCGGUAGUCCUAGCCGUAAACGAUGGAUGCUAGGUGUGGGGGGUGUAGAUUCCCUCCGUGCCGCAGUUAACGCGUUAAGCAUCCCGCCUGGGGAGUACGGCCGCAAGGCUAAAACUCAAACGAAUUGACGGGGGCCCGCACAAGCAGCGGAGCGUGUGGUUUAAUUCGAUGCUACACGAAGAACCUUACCUGGGCUUGACAUACAGGUAGUAGUGAAGUGAAAGCGGAUCGAUCCUUCGGGGAGCCUGUACAGGUGCUGCACGGCUGUCGUCAGCUCGUGCCGUGAGGUGUCGGGUUAAGUCCCGUAACGAGCGCAACCCUUGCUCUUAGUUAUACGUGUCUAAGAGGACUGCCGGCGGUAAGCCGGAGGAAGGUGGGGAUGACGUCAAGUCAGCAUGGCCUUUAUGUCCAGGGCUACACACACGCUACAA